rnacentral:rRNA from 1 species
CCCGCUGAACUUAAGCAUAUCAAUAAGCGCAGGAAAAGAAACCAACAGGGAUUGCCUCAGUAACGGCGAGUGAAGCGGCAACAGCUCAAAUUUGAAAUCUGGCCUCUCGGGGUCCGAGUUGUAAUUUGUAGAGGAUGUUUUGGGUACCGCCCCGGUUUAAAUUUCUUGGAACAGAAUGUCAAAGAGGGUGAGAAUCCCGUCUUGGACCGGCGGUAGGGCCUAUGUAAAACUCCCUCGACGAGUCGAGUUGUUUGGGAAUGCAGCUCAAAAUGGGUGGUAAAUUUCAUCUAAAGCUAAAUAUUGGCCAGAGACCGAUAGCGCACAAGUAGAGUGAUCGAAAGAUGAAAAGCACUUUGAAAAGAGAGUUAAACAGUAUGUGAAAUUGUUGAAAGGGAAGCGCUUGCAACCAGACUUGAGCGCGGCGGUUCCCCUAGCCUUUUGGCUAGGUUACUCCGCCGUGUCCAGGCCAACAUCGGUUCUGAGGGUCGGUCAAAGGCCUUGGGAAUGUAUCCACCUACGGGUAGACUUAUAGACCAGGGUGUCAUGCGGCCUCUCGGGACCGAGGAACGCGCUUCGGCUCGGAUGUUGGCGUAAUGGUUGUCAGCGACCCGUCUUGAAACACGG